GCAGAGCCCGGCUGAGGGGAGCAGGAGGUGAGCGGCUCUUCUGGCUAAAGCUCGGACAGUUAUUAUCCGCUAAAAGCGCCUGAAAUGCAGGUAGCCGUUUACAAACCCCGUCCUCCACCUCACCCGAAGAGUUUGCAAUCUGUAGGGAAAAUAAGGCAGAGAAAAAAUGUUUUCAUCGGCGAGAGUUAAAGACCUUUAAAAGAAUCCACUCACAGUUUUUGUUUUUCUAAUUAAAAACAUCUCUAACGACAAGAAUUCAGAGUCACUGCACUGCACUGCCCAGAAACUUACAUGGGAUUUGAAUGGCGUCAUGGAAGUAGCACUGACCUCGGUCAGCCCAACUCCACUGUUUCCAAGCUAUGCCACAAUACCAGAAAAUCAUUUAUUUAUGUGAUUUCUUCAUCCACAAAAUGAGAAGAUUGGCUGAGAGAAUAUCUAGGAUUCCUGCCAGCUUCACUAAGCUGUUGUGUAUUAGGAGUUGUUUUCAACCAACAGACAACAAAAGAUAUUAUGUGGGAGAAAUAUACUGAUCCUUGCAACGAUGUGAAUGAAUCUCAAAAACAUGCUGUCUGAAGACAAUUCAGCGUGCCAAAACAGACUCUGGGUGAUGUCAGAAACGAUUCUGAAAGCAGGCAUUAAUUAGUUUGCCAAGAUAAUGAGUUCCUGUCCAGUUUGUAGGUGUCAACAUAGUGACUUGGCAAUCAGUGCUCACCACAGGUGAAGGAAGAAGAAAAUUCAGGGGAAAUUUGCAACCUGAAAACAACCUGUGAGCACUCAUGUCUGGCUGAUCCACCAAGCAGACCCUCAGUGGUGCCCUCUGAAGAAAGUUGGGAGGUCCCCCACCUUCCAGAAUUCUUGCUGCCAUCCUACAGGCCCUCCUAGGGGACAAAGGAAUGCUUUUGCACAUGCGAACUACUGUCACCCUAAAUCACACAGAAUCCCAUGUGACCUUCUUUAGUUGUACUUGACAUUGACCUGAAUGAUUCAUCUGCUCCUAGGCAUUAUUUUUAGCCUAUAUUUAAAUGAAGGACAAAUUUUGCUCAGGUGGAUUCAUGGUACUUUGUUUCCUUAGGAAUUUUUCUCAGGCUGAACAACAAUUCAUAUGUCAAAAUCCUAAUGACCUAUGUGGCUGUACUUGGAAUUUGGAAGAAGUUACGAUGAAAUGAAGUCAUGAGAGGAAGGCCUUGUGAGGACAGUUAGAAGAUAAUCAUCUACAAGUCAGGAAGAGAAUCCAAAAACUGAACCAGCCAGACACUUGAUUUCUCUCCACUUUCCAAA